rnacentral:rRNA from 1 species
UACGUAGGGAGCAAGCGUUGUCCGGAUUUAUUGGGCGUAAAGAGCUCGUAGGCGGUUUAGAAAGUCAGGUGUGAAACCUCCAGCUCAACCUGGAGACGCCACUUGAUACUUCUAUGACUUGAGUUCGGUAGGGGAUCACGGAAUUCCUGGUGUAGCGGUGAAAUGCGCAGAUAUCAGGAGGAACACCGAUGGCGAAGGCAGUGAUCUGGGCCGAAACUGACGCUGAGGAGCGAAAGCGUGGGGAGCGAACAGG